rnacentral:rRNA from 1 species
UACAGAGGGUGCAAGCGUUAUCCGGAAUGAUUGGGCGUAAAGCGUCUGUAGGUGGCUCGUAAAGUCUAAUGUCAAAUCCCAGGGCUUAACCUUGGUCCGGCAUUGGAGCACUCACGAGCUUGAGUAUGGUAGAGGUAGAGGGAAUUCCAAGUGGAGCGGUGAAAUGCGUAGAGAUUUGGAGGAACACCAGCGGCGAAAGCGCUCUACUGGGCCAAAACUGACACUGAGAGACGAAAGCUGGGGGGAGCGAAAAAGG